rnacentral:rRNA from 1 species
AUGGUGUUUGCACCCCAGGCAGCCUCCUCGAUGGGAUUGUCUUCGCCGCCGCCGUUUCACUUCGGUCAUCUCAUCACCAUCAAGCUCUCCGCCGACAACUACAUCUUCUGGCGUGCGCAGGUUCUCCCGCUCUUGGGGAGUCACUACCUGCUAGGCUACGUCGACGGAUCGCUUCCCUGCCCACCCGCGCUGGUAGAUAGCAUGCACGGUCCGGUCUACAAUCCGGCCCAUCGCGUCUGGACGGGGCAGGACCAGGCGAACCUCUCCUCCAUCCAGGGGUCGCUCUCGCCGGCAGUUGCCGGCCUUGUUGUCUUCGCGAAGACGUCUCAUGAGGCCUGGACCAUCCUUGAGCGCACCUUUGCAGCGCAGUCCCAGGCUCGUGUCUCUGCACUCCGUCGUCAGCUUGGAGAGUGUCAGAAGCUUGACUCCACUGCCACUGAGUUCUACAACAAGGUCAAGGGCCUCGCCGACACAUUGGCCUCCAUUGGACAGCCCCUCACCGACUCCGAGUUCAACUCGUUUAUUGUCAAUGGUCUUGAUGAGGAGUAUGAUGCCUUAGUCGAGAUCAUCAACGAGCGGGGCAACUCGACACCCAUGCUGGCACACGAGGUUUUCUCUCGGCUCCUUCUCACUGAGCAACGGGUCGAGACUCGCCGCACCAGGGGCACUGGCUCCCUCUCGGCCAACGCCGCCACCAAGGGUGGCCGCUCUUCUUCAUCACCCCGGUCUCCCUUGGGGCUGCCACCGUCGCCCGCCUCGGCCCCCCCACCUACUGCGACCUUACCGGGGGCUGGCGGUCCACGUGUGUGUCAGCUUUGUGGCCGCGAUGGGCACUGGGCCUCCAAGUGUCAUAAGCGCUUCCAGCGAAGCUUUCUUGAUCUUGGCAAUGACGACAAAGAUACACGCAACAAUGCCCGUCAGGUCGCCAUGGCUGAUCGUCCCGCGCCGCAGAAGCAACAGGGACACACUCAGUCCUACUCCAUCGAUCCACACUGGUACAUGGACUCUGGGGUGACAGAGCAUCUAACCAGCGAGAUGGGGAAGCUUCACACUCGUGAACCCUAUCAUGGCUCCGACAAGAUCCACACCGCCAAUGGAGCAGGUAUGCACAUCUCUCAUAUUGGUCAAGCAUCUCUUCUCACUAGACAUGCCAAUAGGAGUCUUCAGCUUCGCAAUGUUCUUCGAGUUCCAUCUGUGACCCGUAAUCUUCUUUCAGUUCCUAAACUCACACGUGAUAAUAAUGUUCUUUGUGAAUUUCACCCUUUUGAUCUUUUUAUUAAGGAUCGGGGCACGAGGGACAUUCUUCUUAGUGGGCGGUUGUGCCAGGGCCUCUACCGUCUGGAGCAUCCUGGUGUCGCUCGUGUUUUCAGUGGAGUUCGGGUCUCUCCGUCACAGUGGCAUGCUCGUCUUGGUCACCCGGCCACACCUAUUGUCCGUCAUAUUUUGCAUCGUCAUGAGCUUCCUAGUUUGUCUAGUCAUAAAGAUGUAGCAGUGUGUGAUGCUUGUCAGCAGGGGAAGAGUCAUCAACUUCCUUUUUCGGAGUCCAGUCGUGAGGUGAAACAUCCUUUAGAACUUGUGUUUUCAGAUGUAUGGGGUCCUGCUCAAACUUCUGUCAGUGGUCAUAAUUACUAUAUCAGUUUCGUUGAUGCUUAUAGUCGCUUUACCUGGCUUUACCUUAUUAAGCGCAAAUCUGAUGUGUUUGAUAUUUUUGUUCAGUUUCAAAAACAUGUUGAACGUCUUCUCAAGCACAAAAUUGUUCAUGUCCAGUCAGACUGGGGGGCGAGUAUCGCAACCUCAACUCUUUCUUUCAGUCGCUUGGGAUAG